rnacentral:rRNA from 1 species
CGUAGGGGGCGAGCGUUGUCCGGAUUUAUUGGGCGUAAAGAGCGUGUAGGCGGCCAGGUAGGUCUGCUGUGAAAACUCGAGGCUCAACCUCGAGACGUCGGCGGAAACCAUCUGGCUAGAGUCCGGAAGAGGAGAGUGGAAUUCCUGGUGUAGCGGUGAAAUGCGCAGAUAUCAGGAGGAACACCGGUGGCGAAGGCGGGUCUCUGGGCCGAUAUUGACGCUGAGGAGCGAAAGCGUGGGGAGCGAACAGG